AUCUGCCACACCACCGACUUUCCUCCUUUCUUUCCCUUCUUUUUCUCUGCUCCUUCACUGCUUGCAGAUGUGCCUGAUUCAGGUCAGAUGCACACACUGCAGACACUUUUGCAAAACUGAAAGUCAGUUCUGUGCUAACUGUAUUUGUAAAUAAGAAUAAUACUUCCGAGCUGUUCUGUGGAGCUUCUCUGAGGGAGAGCCUUCUCUCUGUGACACCACGUGUCCGGCUGCAGACGGUGACAUUAAGUCAGUGGGUUUAAUAGAUGAUAGAAUCAGAACAAGCAUAAAUAAAUGGGGCUCGUGUUCAGCUGGCUUUGGGGCCGAAAAGAGGCCCCACCGCUUCUGGAUGUCGCCACAGAGUCUCAGGUCAUACCCCCAGCUGAGGCUCCAGUGGUGGCUCCUGCUGAGAUUGAGAUUCAGACAGCUGAUGCAACAGUCAUAAAGACAGAGACUGAACAGAUGCUUGACGUCUGUGAGCCAGAGGCUGUGGAAGUGGAAGCCGAAGCCUUGACAGAGGAAAACGCUGUGGCUAAGGAGGAGGAAGAAGAAGUGGAGGUGGCCGUCUCAGAGGACAUCACAAUUCCUGAAACAGUAGCUGCUGAAGAGCAAGUGGUAGAAGCUGAGCAAGUUGUUGUGUCUGCUGAAGUGGAGCCUGCUGCCCACGAGGUGGUUACAGAUACUGUCGUUGAGGUUGUCACUGAAAUUUCUGAGCCUGAACAAGAAGUGACUGAGCCAGCCGCUGCAGCCCCAGCUGAGGAGGAUGAAGGUGAAGUGGACGUGGUGGCUGAAGAAGAGGCACCUGAAGUCCCUGCAGAGCCCGAUGCAACCACAGAGGAUGCUCCCAUCCAAUAUGUGGAAAUCCCAGUGGUGGCAGACACCAUCUCAGAGGCUCCAGUAGAAGAGGCUGCAGCCCCUCUUACUGAAGCCACAGAGGUCAUUGCUGACACACUGGUCGAUGACUUUGUAGUCACAGAACCUCUCUCAGCUGUAGAAGUCGCCAUUGCUGAGUCUGCUGCUGUCCAGCAGGAGAUUGUGGUCAUGAACGACACCCUCAGCACCAUAACAGAAUCUACAGAUGUGACUCCUCCUGAGCCUGAGCCUGCUGCUGCCCCUGCAGAGGAAAUGGUCACUGAUGUUACUGCUGAGCAGACCUGUCUGGAUAUGCUGUCAGAAGAGCCCAAGUCAGAAAUAUGUGACAUGCCAUGUCAGAUGCAGCUUGCGGUGGAGACUGCGGAGAUGUCAGUGGAGACGGGGCUGAAUGCACACAUCGUUCCAGAGGUCUCGAUCGAGGGCUAGACACAAGACUCCAAAGAUUUUUCCUUUGUUCUUUAUUCCCUUUGGGUCAUUUGGAGGACUCAAAACGCCACCAGCUGACCUUUUUCAUUUUUUAAGGCUUAGAGCAGAACCAGCCAGGAAAUAGAAGGGACAUCCACACUUUGAAGUGCCUUUCCUGCUCCGGUUCUGCUUUCUGUUAUAGCAUCAAACCAGAUGUCAACAUGCAACAAAGAAAUGCUGCUUUCACUGCAGCAGAAGAGACUGACGGCUCCUUUUUAAUCUCCCCCCCCCCCCCCAAAAAAAAAAAAAAACUAUGUUCGGUGAAUUUGUAUUAGUGGUGGAGGCAGAGGUGCUCGAGAGAUGAUGACUGCUUGAGAUAAACCGCAGUGUGUGAUGCUUUCCAGUCUGCCUCCACACUGCAUACUCCCAAUACAUGUGAAUGUUGUAGCAUCAGUGAAUACGCCCAUAGCUGGGCCUUUGUACACAUUUGUUUUGUUUAUUUUUUACUUGUUCUAAAUUCACAGAUUCUCCUCACCAGGGUCUUUUAUACCUUCAAAGACACACACACACAUAUAGACCCCCCUUUGCCUCCUUGCCUGUUACCUCUGUCUGUCACCUCUGAUGCUAACACUUACAUCUUAAGGCUAGUUUGAAGGGGAUGAGUUCAGAGGUAAAUUUCUGUAUUGUGUUUUCCACUUUUUCCUUUUGUAAUUCAUUUUGUAUAGACCUUAUGAUGCGCUACAGUUUUGUGUUCAAAGCCUGUGCUACGGAGUGGGGAUUAGAGUUGGGCUGAUGAUGGGCUAAGAUCACCUUUGAAAUAAAGCUGUAACACAUCAUGAUAUAAGAGUACUU
ensembl:lncRNA dihydrolipoyllysine-residue acetyltransferase component of pyruvate dehydrogenase complex-like